rnacentral:rRNA from 1 species
GUCCACGCCCUAAACGAUGUCAACUAGCCGUUGGAGGAAUUUAAUCCUUUAGUGGCGCAGCUAACGCGAUAAGUUGACCGCCUGGGGAGUACGGUCGCAAGAUUAAAACUCAAAGGAAUUGACGGGGGCCCGCACAAGCGGUGGAGCAUGUGGUUUAAUUCGAUGCAACGCGAAGAACCUUACCAGGCCUUGACAUCCCGGGAACUUUCCAGAGAUGGAUUGGUGCCUUCGGGAACCCGGAGACAGGUGCUGCAUGGCUGUCGU